CACUGGGCAAGGGCUUUCUUCCCAGUUGGUUCAAAUUGUGAGUCAGUUGACAACAACCUUUGUGAGUCAUUCAACCAUGCUAUAGUUGAUGCUAGGUUUUAUCCUAUUAUUUCUAUGAAUGAAAAAAUUAGGAAGAAAGUACUUGUGAGAAUUCAGGAACAAAGAGAGAAAGGUGCCAACUUUAGUGGAAAAAUAUGA
rnacentral:rRNA from 1 species